UUUAAUUGAAGAGUUUGAUCAUGGCUCAGAUUGAACGCUGGCGGCAGGCCUAACACAUGCAAGUCGAGCGGCAGCGACAUAAACAAACCUUCGGGGG
rnacentral:rRNA from 1 species